GAUGAACGCUGACAGAAUGCUUAACACAUGCAAGUCGAUGGGGAAGUGGUGCUUGCACCCUGGCAACCAUGGCGGACGGGUGAGUAACGCGUAAGGGACUUACCUGCAGGACUGGGAUAACAGGGGGAAACUCCUGACAAGACCGGAUAAUGUCAUGGAGCUGCAUGGCUUUAUGAUGAAAGGAGACGCCUGCGGAGAGCCUUGCGUCCUAUUAGCUAGUUGGUGAGGUAAUGGCUCACCAAGGCGAAGAUAGGUAGCCGGCCUGAGAGGGUGGACGGCCACAAGGGGACUGAGAUACGGCCCUUACUCCUACGGGAGGCAGCAGUGGGGAAUAGUGGACAAUGGGGGCAACCCUGAUCCAGCAAUUCUGUGUGCACGAAGAAGGUUUUCGGAGUGUAAAGUGCUUUCAGCAGGGAAGAAGUAAGUGACGGUACCUGCAGAAGAAGCGACGGCUAAAUACGUG
rnacentral:rRNA from 1 species